CCUACGGUGCGCAGCAGUGAGGAAUAUUGGUCAAUGGGCGCGAGCCUGAACCAGCCAAGUAGCGUGAAGGAUGAAUGCCCUACGGGUUGUAAACUUCUUUUAUAAAGGAAUAAAGUGAGGCACGUGUGCCUGAUUGUAUGUACUUUAUGAAUAAGGAUCGGCUAACUCCGUGCCAGCAGCAGCGGUAAUACGGAGGAUCCGAGCGUUAUCCGGAUUUAUUGGGGUUAAAGGGAGCGUAGAUGGGUUGUUAAGUCAGUUGUGAAAGUUGUCGGCUCAACCGUAAAAUUGCAAUUGAUACUGGCAGUCUUGAGUGCAGUUGAGGUAGGCGGAAUUCGUGGUGUAGCUGUGAAAUGCUUAGAUAUCACGAAGAACUCCGAUUGCGAAGGCAGCUUACUAAACUGCCACUGACAUUGAUGCUCGAAAGUGUGGGUAUCAAACAGGAUUAGAUACCCCAGUAGUC
rnacentral:rRNA from 1 species